UACGUUUGUAGCUUAAUUGGAUAAAGCUUUAAAUUACGAAUUUAAUGAUCGAAAGUUCAAAUCUUUCCAAACGUAU
rnacentral:tRNA from 1 species